UACGUAGGGGGCAAGCGUUGUCCGGAAUCAUUGGGCGUAAAGGGCGCGUAGGCGGCAUGGCAAGUGGAUGGUGAAAUCCCUCGGCUUAACCGAGGAACUGCCGUCCAAACUGCUUCGCUUGAGACCGGGAGAGGUGAGUGGAAUUCCCAGUGUAGCGGUGAAAUGCGUAGAUAUUGGGAGGAACACCAGUGGCGAAGGCGGCUCACUGGACCGGUACUGACGCUGAUGCGCGAAAGCGUGGGGAGCAAACGGG
rnacentral:rRNA from 1 species